UAAGCGGAGGAAGAACUAACGAGGAUUCCCUUAGUAGCUGCGAGCGAACAGGGACAAGCCCAGCACUGAAUCCUGGAGGCAUCGCCUCCCAGGAAAUGUGGUGUUUGGGAGAAUUCAUACACCCGAUACCGUCGCACUGCGUCCAAGUCCAUCUUGAAAGAGGCCACGGUCCCGAGAGGGUGCCAGGCCCGUGGUAGGCCGGUGCAGGUGUUGGGUGAAUUUCUCCUCAGAGUCAGGUUGCUUGAGAGUGCAGCCCUAAGCGGGUGGUAAACUCCAUCUAAGGCUAAAUACAACCACGAGACCGAUAGCGAACAAGUACCGUGAGGGAAAGUUGAAAAGAACUUUGAAGAGAGAGUUCAAGAGUACGUGAAACCGCUCAGGGGUAAACGGAAAAGACCCGAAAUUUCCGAAGAGGGAGAUUCACGUCUUCUCGCGGCGCUUAGGCGUCCGUCCCUUUUGGACGGUUCUGCUCCCGUUCGUUUUUCGCACGGUGGGUCGGAUUGCAAAGGGCGGCGUUGAGGCCCGCGGCGGACCGCACUUCUCCCUUAGUAGGACGUCGUGACCCGUCCGGCCAUGGUCUUACAGACAUGAGGUGGAGCCUGUUUUCGACGCGUUUGCGCGUGUUCUUGAGCAGACCCUCAUGCCUCGGCCAUGGAUAUUAUUUACCGGUCGGUAUCAAAUGACAGCGUUCGGCCGCUUUUCGGCGGAGGAAACUCCUGCCGGCGAGCGCGGUUCGAUCCGGUGCAAGGUGCUGGGAUGUUCUCAGUCGGAGCGGGCUUACGUCCGCCUGGCUGCUCCCGGCCCUGUUGGCUCCGGAUCCUCCCGUUCGGCCUAUUUGCGCUCGUCUACGGCGAACCAGUUUUGGGCUCUUGUCCGACCCGUCUUGAAACACGGACCAAGGAGUUCAGCGUGCACGCGAGUCAUUGGGUGAACAAACCUAAAGGCGAAAUGAAAGUGAAGGGAACUUUAGUUUCUGAGGGAGGAUGAGACGGUUUUACCGCAAGGGGCCUCUCCGCACUCCCGGGGCGUCUCUUUCUCAUUACGAGUGGAGGCGCACCCAGAGCGUACACGCUGAUACCCGAAAGAUGGUGAACUAUGCCUGGCCAGGACGAAGCCAGGGGAAACCCUGGUGGAGGUCCGCAGCGAUUCUGACGUGCAAAUCGAUCGUCGGAGCUGGGUAUAGGGGCGAAAGACCAAUCGAACCAUCUAGUAGCUGGUUCCCUCCGAAGUUUCCCUCAGGAUAGCUUGCGCUCAUGGGAACGAGUCUCAUCCGGUAGAGCGAAUGAUUAGAGGCCUUGGGGUCGAAACGACCUCAACCUAUUCUCAAACUCCAAAUAGAUGAGAACUCCGGCUUCCUUGAAAAAUGAAGCCGGGGGCUUGGAUCAGAGUGCCAAGUGGGCCAAUUUUGGUAAGCAGAACUGGCGCUGUGGGAUGAACCAAACGUCGAGUUAAGGCGCCUAAAUCGUCGCUCAUGUGAAACCAUGAAAGGCGUUGGUUGCUUAAGACAGCAGGACGGUGGCCAUGGAAGUCGGAAUCCGCUAAGGAGUGUGUAACAACUCACCUGCCGAAGCAACUAGCCCUGAAAAUGGAUGGCGCUGUAGCGACGUUGCCUAUACUCGACCGUCAACGGCAAAGAUUGGCUGGGCUCUUGUAGUUCGUGCCGUUACGCCUUGACGAGUAGGAGGGCCGCGGCGACGUGCGCAGAAGGGUCUGGGCGUGAGCCUGCCUGGAGCCGUCGUCGGUGCAGAUCUUGGUGGUAGUAGCAAAUACUCCAGCGAGGCCCUGGAGGACUGAUGUGGAGAAGGGUUUCUUGUGAACAGCUGUUGCACAAGAGUCAGUCGGUCCUAAGCCCUAGGAGAAAUCCGAAGCGAUGGGUUGCCGUUAACCAGUUGUGAUGGCACCCGUUUGGGCGAAAGGGAAUCCGGUUCCUAUUCCGGAACCUGGCAGUGGAACCGUUCCAAUUCGGGCCCUCUGUGGACUCGUCAGGGCAACCUAAGUAGACCCGGAGACGCCGACAGGAGGUUGGGGGAGAGUUGUCUCUUCUCUAUAAGCGAUCGAGUUCCCUGGAAACUUCUAGCAAGGAGAUAGGGUUUGGAUCGCGAAGAGCACUGCAGUUACGGCAGUGUCCCAAUCUUCCUCUCGGACCUGAAAAUCCGGGUGAGGGCAACGAGGACCCCCACGCCAGACCGUACCCAUAACCGCAGCAGGUCUCCAAGGUGCAAAGCCUCU
rnacentral:rRNA from 1 species